AUUGAACGCUGGCGGCAGGCCUAACACAUGCAAGUCGAGCGGCAGCGGGAAAGUAGCUUGCUACUUUUGCCGGCGAGCGGCGGACGGGUGAGUAAUGCCUGGGAAAUUGCCCAGUCGAGGGGGAUAACAGUUGGAAACGACUGCUAAUACCGCAUACGCCCUACGGGGGAAAGCAGGGGACCUUCGGGCCUUGCGCGAUUGGAUAUGCCAAGGUGGGAUUAGCUAGUUGGUGAGGUAAUGGCUCACCAAGGCGACGAUCCCUAGGUGGGCUGAGAGGAUGGUCGGCCACACUGGAACGGGGAGUCGGUGCAGAGCCCUGCGGGAGGCAGCAGUGGAGAAUAUGGCACGAUGGGGGGAGCCCUGCGGCGGCCAUGCCGCGUGUGUGGAGAAGGCAUUGGGGUUGUAUAGCGCUGUCAGCGAGGAGGAAAGGUUGAUGCCUAAUGCGUAUUAAGUGUGCGGGUAGCCGGAGAGGAAGGCCAGGCUAACUCCGUGCGAGCAGCCGCCGUAAGAC
rnacentral:rRNA from 1 species